rnacentral:tRNA from 1 species
UAGGAGAUAGUAUAUAAGGAAGUACUGAAAGUUUUGGGCUUUCUGGUCCAAGUUCGAGUCUUGGUCUUCUAG